UGGGGAAUUUUGGACAAUGGGCGAAAGCCUGAUCCAGCAAUGCCGCGUGUGUGAAGAAGGCCUUCGGGUUGUAAAGCACUUUUGUCCGGAAAGAAAUCCUUGGCUCUAAUACAGUCGGGGGAUGACGGUACCGGAAGAAUAAGCACCGGCUAACUACGUGCCAGCAGCCGCGGUAAUACGUAGGGUGCAAGCGUUAAUCGGAAUUACUGGGCGUAAAGCGUGCGCAGGCGGUUUGCUAAGACCGAUGUGAAAUCCCCGGGCUCAACCUGGGAACUGCAUUGGUGACUGGGCAGGCUAGAGUAUGGCAGAGGGGGGUAGAAUUCCACGUGUAGCAGUGAAAUGCGUAGAGAUGUGGAGGAAUACCGAUGGCGAAGGCAGCCCCCUGGGCCAAUACUGACGCUCAUGCACGAAAGCGUGGGGAGCAAAACAGGAUUAGAUACCCUGGGUAGUCCCAGCGCCCUAAACGAUGUCAACUAGUUGUUGGGGAUUCAUUCCUUAGUAACGUAGCUAACGCGUGAAGUUGACGCCUGGGGAGUACGGUC
rnacentral:rRNA from 1 species